rnacentral:lncRNA from 1 species
CCAAAUCAGGCCCGACAGCCCCACUCCCCAUGGAAAACCAGAGAAAACAGAAAUUUUCUUCUGCUAGCAAGGUUCAAUAUUUCCAUUAAUUCCCACGAUAUUAGUAUAGCCGACAAACUACUAAAGGGUUUGAGCAAUUGGACCAUAAUUGAGGGGAGAUCCACACCAAACAAAGGUUCCAUGAGAUGUGAUUUGUUCACUGUAAAUUCUUCAAAUUGAGAAAUAAAAUGUUUCAAUGUGGAGAAAGUUAAAGAAUCGGAAAGAUUCUGCAAAGGGCAGAGCAAAACAGGACAGGACAGAAAUAAAUUUUUUGGCCUUCCUUACCCGCACAGCCACAUCAACCAUUUACUGGGCUUUACUUGUUGAACUUUCAACAAUUUCAGCCACACGAGGUCUAGAUUCUGGCGUUUGAUGUGCAGAAUGAUCGAAAGAGCUUGGAAGGCCACUAAGAUUACCUAAUCCAGCCAUGAGUUUUGACCCCUGUAAGAGAGUGUUUCCCUCGGUCUGUGCUGCGUUGCCUCAACCAAAAAAGAGCAGAAGCAACCGGCACAACAAAGACAAUCAAGUCAAGCAAUUGGAAAAUUAUCAGAUCAUAAUGCUGCAAACUAAAGGGGAAGGGCGCGAAGCUGUAACGUGCUCCACAAAUAACUCAUGCCUGCUUUGUAACUUCGCGUAGCUGAAAUAGUAUUGCAGCUUUAGUGCUUCUUAAAAAGUUCCGAAUCCUUAAAAGAGUUGUCUCCAUCUCUUUUGAGUUUCCAAAACUUCAUCAUUCAUGUGCCUCAACUCAGACACAGUAGCCUCCUAAAAGUUUUAACACGAUCCAUCAGUUUAUUUCUCAAAUAUAAAUGCCAACAGUACCAGUUGGAAUAAUUUCUUUGUGCAGCUUUAGAUGAAAAAGAUUCAGAAUAAUUUCUUUAUGCAGCUUUUGAUGAAAAGGAUUCAUGAUACUAGAAAAAAAAUGGUAAAAACAAGUGCAGUGAUAAAAACAUUGGAAAGAACUGAACUUAAAGGUGGAACGUUAAGAGUACCAACACAUAACACAAGAGAGACAUUUCGUUGAACUACUUUCAUAAACACGAAAGGAAACAAAAUUCAUCAGCAGAAAACAUCUACAGUUCAUGUACAAUUGGCUAACAAGAUGCACAACCUUCUUCGUCCAGUACACGGGUCAAUUCAGAAGGAGCUAGAACAUCAGCUUCCUUCGUAUGGAUAUGUGCUAUAUUAGAAGGCCGUGAUGUUGCUCGUGGCGUGUAACGCGUGUUUAACAGUUCCACUAGACCCCAUUUGAACUUCUGAGUUAGAUUAGAACUAGAUGAAGUCCCCUGGUCAAAACAGUUUCCUCUUCAAGAAGAUAACCAUUAUUCUAUUUUAGAGAGGGGUAAAUUUCGAAUUAACCCUCGCAUGGAAUGGCGAUAUUCAAUCCAUCUCCAAAAGUGUAAAAAUAUUAAUUUAUCACCCAAAUGUUGUUAAUUUUAAUAGAUUGUUAUCGUAAACUUAUUAAAAUAUAAAAAUAUCCCUAUCCAUAAUAAAUUCUAUCAACUAAUGAUUUAAGACCCAAAACAAAUCUGUUCAUGUUAAUAAAUGAUAUGUAAAAUUAUUUUAAAGGUCCGUAAAAUAUCAUAAUAACUUCAGAGUCCUAAAAAAAAAAUUUUAUUCUCAAGUAUAUCCACAGGAGCCUGAGUUGGUCAAGGAAGGCCAAGUGCGGCCAGCCCAAGGCCAAGGAAGGCCGUGUGUGCCCAUCGAAAAGAAAUGGAUGCUGUCAAUUUUGCUUAUCCUUAUGCAAAAUUAGGGUUUAAUUAGAAAGAAGAAGUGAGGGUUUAGAAAAGAAAAUGGUCAGAGUUUGGUUAAACAGAAGAGAGUAAUACGAAAAGAAAUAAUGAAAUAUUAAAGAAAUUUGACUUUUUUCAUUGGUUGCUCUGAUACCAGUUAGGGUGAAGUACGUGGCGUUGUUAUACCAGAACUACAACAGUUAAGACUGUUCUUAGGACCAGUAGUCCGCAAGCUCGGGUUUCCAGCCGAUAUACUUUCGCAAAACUUUUAAAACAUUUUUCUCGGGUUAUACAACCCAAAACAGACUUUCCUUUAGUCUAAAACAGGGUACCAAACCAGAUAAGAAAUGAUCAAAAGUUUUCUGAUGCACAGGAUCCUUAGAAAAGGCAAGUGCAGAGCAUACUUCCUUAGGUUUUCAAAAUGAACAGAUUUAAUUCUUUAUUCUUUUUUCCAUUUCUAAAACUUCAUUUGGAGAGAGAGAAGAGGGGUUUAGGGAGUCAUGGAGAAAAACACACGAGUUUAUUUCUUUCAAACUUCUAUAUUUUACAAGAGAAGAGAGAACUCCUUAUAUAGGAGAAAACUCAGGAAGAUAGGAUAAGAUUCCUAUCUUUUACAAAAGUAAAAGUAAAUAUACAUCAUGACACACCUUUAAUUAUUACAAAAGGACAAAAGAUGCUUUAAUAAUUAAAGCAUAACUUUUGACAAAAGCAAAAGCAAAAGCUUAAAGUAAAAGCAAGCUGUAAUGAUUACAUAAGACAAAACAUAAAGUAAAGCAUAAGAAGACAAACUACUUUUAUGGAGAGGAGAGAUUUAUGUAGUCAUCUUCAGAGGAGCUUUCUGUCGCAUCGGGGUCCGUGUCACCAGAGUGCUUUUGGAAAAAAGAUUUGGAGAGCUUGAGCUUGGGAUGUUUGCAGGAGGGACCACGGCAUGGGGGAUGAGGGCAAUUGUAUUCCCUCGGAGUACCCUUUGGAGUAUAUUUUGGGGAAGUUUGGGUGGCUUUGUCGGCUUGAGAGGGUCGAACUGGGGUAUUGGAAGGUCGGUGUGAUGGUCCUGGAGCAGAAGGGUCAGGUUCAUCCAGUGUAGGUUGGGGGAAUUGGUGAAGGUGUUGGCUGAGAGGAAGGAAGUCUUCCCAAGGGUCCUGGGAGUCUUGGUAGAGGAAGUCAGUGUAGUCUGGACGUUCUUCCUUAAUGACAAUUUCUGUGGACUUAGGUUUAGAGGUGGCUGAUGGAGUCGGGAUCAUAAGGAUUUCAUGUUGGGGUCCUAAGGAGGUGUGUGAGAUAUUUUUUAGUGGGGGAGGUUUGUGGUUUAGUUGACAAAGGUAAUUAUGCAGAACAUCUUGAAGAUCAUUGUCAAUGAUAGCUAUAUGUGGUGCAGUGAACCAUUCAUAUGCUUGAUCUUGAGUCCAGAAGAGGUUGGUGGCUGGAUGUUGGAAGUAGGGCCUGUGAAUGAUGAAAACUGUUGUCCAUAAUUUUGCUUCAGAGGUAGGCAUACGAUCAAGGUUGUGAAUUUCUGAGAGCUGUUGAAGCUUCUUUCUCCACCAUGGUAUUGGGGAGAACCAUUCAAGGAGCGUCCAGGUAAGGGAGGUAGCAUUGUCGGGAUGAAUGAGAUGUUCCAGUGUGGGAGUAACUGGGAGGAUCAACUUGGUUGCAUAAAGGACUGUUAGGCACCAGAUGUACCAUAACACGUCUUCAGUGGUGUCUCUGGAUGGAUCAAGGGUUAAACCUGUAGAAAACAUAUUCUCUGGGUGGAAAGAGGAGAAAAGGAAAGGGUCUGUGACAAGAUAGGCUUUCAUGAAGAACCGAAAAAGAGCUUUUCUUGCAAAUUAUUGGAUAUCAAAAACAGAAGAGAAGGUUUUGUUGAAGGGAAAAGUCUUUUUGGUGAGAGCUUCUGAGGGAAGGGAUGUAGCCAUGGAGAUUAUCGGAAAGUGAUAUGUGGUGGAGAACAGGGUGAGAGGUUUUUCUGGUUUUGAAAGUCUGGAUAGCAUAUCAGGGAUGAGGUUCUGGGACCCCUUUAUAUGCUUAACCGAAAAAUCAUAUUUGGAAAACCAAUCCUUUAAUCUGAGUAACAUUUUCUCAGGAACAGUUUUACCUUUGAAAUUGAGAAUAUUGGGAAAGGCUGAGCUGUCCAUUCGGAUGAGAAAGUGGUGUCCAAUCAAAUGAUACUCAAAUUUUUUGAUGCCAUUUUUUACGGCGAGGAUUUCUUUGAACACACUAUGGUAGUGCUUCUGAGUGUCAGAAAAGUGGCCGCUAGCAUGAGUAAUAAAGUGAUCCUUAUUAUUAAGUUCUUCGAGGAGGAUGGCACCCCAUGAUUCAUUACUUGCGUCAGUUUGUUGGAUGCGUUUGCCAUCUGUGAUCAACUUUAAAGGAGGCGGAUUUUGCGCGAUCUGUUUGAGAGUAGUGACAGCAGUGGUGUGGUCAGCAUUCCAAUCGGGGGGCUUCUUUUUUAAUAAAGCCGAAAGAUGAUGAGUGUGGUGGUCCACAUGUGGAAUAAAAUCACGGAUGUAAUUGAUGAUGCCGAGAAACUGUUGGACUUGUCUUUUGGAAAGUUGCUGAUCUGGAAAGUGAAGCAACUCUUGGGCAAUGUGUUUUCCAGGCUGGUAAUGACCAUCUGUGAUGACCAUACCAAGGAAUUCAAUUUGGUCAGUAGCAAUGGUGCUUUUCUUGGCUGAUAGCAUAAUUCCAUGAUGUUGAACAAUAUCAUAGAACUGAGUUAACAGCUGGCGAUGUUCAUCGUGGGAUCCUGAAAAAAGCAAGAUAUCAUCAAUGUAAAUUAAUGCAUGAUGCAGGAUAGGCUCAAAGAUUUUGACCAUGGAUUUUUGGAAAAUGGACGGGGCUGUUUUGAGACCGAAAGGCCGAACUGUCCAUUGGAAAUGGGCAUUGGGGAUACAAAAGGCAGUUUUGGAACGGUUAGAGGGUUCAAUGCCUAAUUGCCAGAAACCUGAUUUUAAAUCGAAUUUGGAAAAGAUCUGGGCAUUUUUGAGAAAAGUAAACAUGCUUUGUCUGCGGGGUAAUGGAAACUUGUCAUCUUGUAAAAAUAUGUUUAGGGGCUGAUAAUCAAUGACUAGGCGUUUCUUUCCUCGGACAAUUUCAGAAUGUUUUUCAACAUAAAAGGCUUGGCAAGCCCAUUGAGAAUUUGUGGGCUCAAUUAAACCUUGGGCUAACAAUUGUGAACAUUCUUGUUGAGCUAGGAGUAAGUCAGAAGGACUCAUUCCUGGGUGAGUGGCCUUGGUUGGGUUAAUGUCUUCAUUGAGCUUAAAAGGGAGCUUAAUGAAGAAAGACUUAUUUUUCCACAAUGGGUUUGGAUGGGUAAACUCAGAAUGGGUUUCGGGACAGAAACUUAAAAGUUUAGUGGAAAUAUCCUGGUAGGACUGGGGUGUUUCAGACAGAUUGUAGAGUUUCAGAAUGUUUGUGUAUGGUUUGAACAUGGACUUGACUCGGAUUCCAGUGGGAAUGAUUUGGAGGUGUUUGAGCUGGUGGAGGACAUCAAAACCUAACAAGACAUCCUUAUCAGGAAGGGUGGAACCGAUAACUUUGAUCCAAAUGACACAAUUGGGAAAAAGUGAAAUACCAAUGGGUUUUUUGGUAAUCAAAGAAGUGGAGAAGACUUUGCCAUUGACAGCUUUGAAAUGUUCUUCAGACUUGGUCCAAUAUUCGGAUGGAAGAAUAUGGGGAUUUAACAUGGUGCGUUGGGCACCAGUGUUAAUGAGACCAAUUGCUGGAACGGGCCUUUGGAAUUUUGAGGGUAAGAUCUGGAUUUUGAUGGAUGGAAUAGGAACAGUAGUGUCUAGGGACAGUAACUGUUGAUGGAAAAUCACUUGGGACUGAUCGCUGUCGGAAUCAGAGGAAUUUUGUAGUGCGAACACUGUUUCAUCAUUAGGUUCAUCUUGUUCAGAGAAAUAGGAUUCCAGUUCAUCCGUGGCUGGAGAAUAAUCGGUAGUGGCUUGAAGAUGCUCAACUAACCGAAUAGAUUUUUCUCGUUUGUUGGGACAAUCUUUGGCAAAAUGACCUUUUCUUUUGCAGAUAAAACAUCGGCUUGAUUUUCUUCGCUGAAAGUCUCUGGAGGAAGAGGACUUUUUGCGGAAGAAUCGGUAUGGUUUUCUGGAUCUGCGAGGUCUGGAUGAAGAUUCUGGAUUUUUGAAUUUCCUAAAAUGCCUUUUUUUCUCAGGACUGCAAUCACAAUCUUUUUUCUUGUGGCAUUUGAUCUGCAGAUAAGGUUUUUUGCAAGCACUUCGGAAUGGUUCUUUGUCUUUUAACAGUUCUUUGAAAAACUGUUUUUGCUCGCAAAGUUUGUCAAGGCAAGUUUUGGCAAGCUGAAAGAUUUUGCCAAGGGAGAUGUUUUCAACAGCAAGGUUGGAGGCGGUGAGUUGUCGUUGUAUGUCUGGUUGGAGUUCAUCUGGAAGGGAUGACAGAAAAACAUGCUUCAGUGUGGGCUCGUUGAAUCCAUUAAGCUUAUAGAACAGCAGGGACAUCCGCUUAUAAUGGAAGUCAAGAUCCUUAGCAUUGAGCGAACAACAUUUCAUGUUGAGAUAGUCUCGUCGUGCAGCUUCAAAGACGGCAGAGGGGUCUCCAAGGAAUUGAUCAUGGAUAACCGCAAGAGCACUUGAGACUUCUGGUAAUUGGACAAACUGUAGCUGUCGGUAUUGACCGAGAGAAUCAAACCAAUCUCUUAGAGCACCCGUAAAACGAGUAGCAUAUUCUCUAAGGACUGAUUCAGUCGUAGCUCCGGGUCUGAGCAUUUGGAGGUCAAUCCAGGCAGACAUUUCAUUGAGUCGGUCACGCCAUUUAUGGGAUGGAAGAUCAUCAAAUGUGAACCAUGGACCAUUGGAUGUUUUUUGACUGGGGGAACUAGGCUGGGUUUGAGCUGGAGGAGGUUGGUUUGUUGCCGAAGAUUCAGGUAUGUCUUCGUCAACUUCGGAGGGAAUAUCAAUAUAGGGUUCGGUAUGAGAGGGUUGUCCGGGAGAAGGCUGAUCAGGUUGGGUCAUCAAGAUUCGGGUGAUAUCAGCAUAGGACUUUUCAGAGUCACUUGAGGAUGGUGAGGAGGCUGUCCAGGAUUACCCAACUUGAUUCUGAACUACGCGCUAUGCUUGCCCAGCGCUACUAUGGUCCAGAAUUUGAUCAAAAAGAACGAGAAAUCCGUCGCCUAAAAACUGAGCUUGCUCAGAUUGAAAGGCCUUCCCUUUUUACCUCUUCACCUCCUAUUCCUUCCGUUGGUCCAACUUAUCAUCCUUUUGCCUCUAUGCUUUCCCCCAUCAAACCAUAUGAUCCAUCUAAACUCUUUGGCAUGACCCAUACUCUUUUUCGUGAUAAUCCACUGCCCAAACCUAAGCCAAAACCUAGACCACAACCCCGCUCACAACCUCGACCUGUCUCACUACACCCUUCUUCUCUAUCCAUCCCUGGUCAACCUUUAGCUCCUCCUACACAGAUAUCUCCGCCAGCUCCACCGCCACUACACCCUCAACCCAAAGAUAAACAGCCCAUGCAUCAAUUUAGUGCCCAUACAGUAAACCAUUCCUCUACUUCCGAUGACCAAACUUCUGAUUCCAAUCUAGCUGUUUCUGAUAGUCAUACUGAAUCUGACACAGCCUCCUCACCAUCCUCAAGUGACUCUGAAAAGUCCUAUGCUGAUAUCACCCGAAUCUUGAUGACCCAACCUGAUCAGCCUUCUCCCGGACAACCCUCUCAUACCGAACCCUAUGUUGAUAUUCCCUCCGAAGUUGACGAAGACAUACCUGAAUCUUCGGCAACAAACCAACCUCCUCCAGCUCAAACCCAGCCUAGUUCCCCCAGUCAAAAACCAUCCAAUGGUCCAUGGUUCACAUUUGAUGAUCUUCCAUCCCAUAAAUGGCGUGACCGACUCAAUGAAAUGUCUGCCUGGAUUGACCUCCAAAUGCUCAGACCCGGAGCUACGACUGAAUCAGUCCUUAGAGAAUAUGCUACUCGUUUUACGGGUGCUCUAAGAGAUUGGUUUGAUUCUCUCGGUCAAUACCGACAGCUACAGUUUGUCCAAUUACCAGAAGUCUCAAGUGCUCUUGCGGUUAUCCAUGAUCAAUUCCUUGGAGACCCCUCUGCCGUCUUUGAAGCUGCACAACGAGACUAUCUCAACAUGAAAUGUUGUUCGCUCAAUGCUAAGGAUCUUGACUUCCAUUAUAAGCGGAUGUCCCUGCUGUUCUAUAAGCUUAAUGGAUUCAACGAGCCCACACUGAAGCAUGUUUUUCUGUCAUCCCUUCCAGAUGAACUCCAACCAGACAUACAACGACAACUCACCGCCUCCAACCUUGCUGUUGAAAACAUCUCCCUUGGCAAAAUCUUUCAGCUUGCCAAAACUUGCCUUGACAAACUUUGCGAGCAAAAACAGUUUUUCAAAGAACUGUUAAAAGACAAAGAACCAUUCCGAAGUGCUUGCAAAAAACCUUAUCUGCAGAUCAAAUGCCACAAGAAAAAAGAUUGUGAUUGCAGUCCUGAGAAAAAAAGGCAUUUUAGGAAAUUCAAAAAUCCAGAAUCUUCAUCCAGACCUCGCAGAUCCAGAAAACCAUACCGAUUCUUCCGCAAAAAGUCCUCUUCCUCCAGAGACUUUCAGCGAAGAAAAUCAAGCCGAUGUUUUAUCUGCAAAAGAAAAGGUCAUUUUGCCAAAGAUUGUCCCAACAAACGAGAAAAAUCAAUUCGGUUAGUUGAGCAUCUUCAAGCCACUACCGAUUAUUCUCCAGCCACGGAUGAACUGGAAUCCUAUUUCUCUGAACAAGAUGAACCUAAUGAUGAAACAGUGUUCGCACUACAAAAUUCCUCUGAUUCCGACAGCGAUCAGUCCCAAGUGAUUUUCCAUCAACAGUUACUGUCCCUAGACACUACUGUUCCUAUUCCAUCCAUCAAAAUCCAGAUCUUACCCUCAAAAUUCCAAAGGCCCGUUCCAGCAAUUGGUCUCAUUAACACUGGUGCCCAACGCACCAUGUUAAAUCCCCAUAUUCUUCCAUCCGAAUAUUGGACCAAGUCUGAAGAACAUUUCAAAGCUGUCAAUGGCAAAGUCUUCUCCACUUCUUUGAUUACCAAAAAACCCAUUGGUAUUUCACUUUUUCCCAAUUGUGUCAUUUGGACCAAAGUUAUCGGUUCCACCCUUCCUGAUAAGGAUGUCUUGUUAGGUUUUGAUGUCCUCCACCAGCUCAAACACCUCCAAAUCAUUCCCACUGGAAUCCGAGUCAAGUCCAUGUUCAAACCAUACACAAACAUUCUGAAACUCUACAAUCUGUCUGAAACACCCCAGUCCUACCAGGAUAUUUCCACUAAACUUUUAAGUUUCUGUCCCGAAACCCAUUCUGAGUUUACCCAUCCAAACCCAUUGUGGAAAAAUAAGUCUUUCUUCAUUAAGCUCCCUUUUAAGCUCAAUGAAGACAUUAACCCAACCAAGGCCACUCACCCAGGAAUGAGUCCUUCUGACUUACUCCUAGCUCAACAAGAAUGUUCACAAUUGUUAGCCCAAGGUUUAAUUGAGCCCACAAAUUCUCAAUGGGCUUGCCAAGCCUUUUAUGUUGAAAAACAUUCUGAAAUUGUCCGAGGAAAGAAACGCCUAGUCAUUGAUUAUCAGCCCCUAAACAUAUUUUUACAAGAUGACAAGUUUCCAUUACCCCGCAGACAAAGCAUGUUUACUUUUCUCAAAAAUGCCCAGAUCUUUUCCAAAUUCGAUUUAAAAUCAGGUUUCUGGCAAUUAGGCAUUGAACCCUCUGACCGUUCCAAAACUGCCUUUUGUAUCCCCAAUGCCCAUUUCCAAUGGACAGUUCGGCCUUUCGGUCUCAAAACAGCCCCGUCCAUUUUCCAAAAAUCCAUGGUCAAAAUCUUUGAGCCUAUCCUGCAUCAUGCAUUAAUUUACAUUGAUGAUAUCUUGCUUUUUUCAGGAUCCCACGAUGAACAUCGCCAGCUGUUAACUCAGUUCUAUGAUAUUGUUCAACAUCAUGGAAUUAUGCUAUCAGCCAAGAAAAGCACCAUUGCUACUGACCAAAUUGAAUUCCUUGGUAUGGUCAUCACAGAUGGUCAUUACCAGCCUGGAAAACACAUUGCCCAAGAGUUGCUUCACUUUCCAGAUCAGCAACUUUCCAAAAGACAAGUCCAACAGUUUCUCGGCAUCAUCAAUUACAUCCGUGAUUUUAUUCCACAUGUGGACCACCACACUCAUCAUCUUUCGGCUUUAUUAAAAAAGAAGCCCCCCGAUUGGAAUGCUGACCACACCACUGCUGUCACUACUCUCAAACAGAUCGCGCAAAAUCCGCCUCCUUUAAAGUUGAUCACAGAUGGCAAACGCAUCCAACAAACUGACGCAAGUAAUGAAUCAUGGGGUGCCAUCCUCCUCGAAGAACUUAAUAAUAAGGAUCACUUUAUUACUCAUGCUAGCGGCCACUUUUCUGACACUCAGAAGCACUACCAUAGUGUGUUCAAAGAAAUCCUCGCCGUAAAAAAUGGCAUCAAAAAAUUUGAGUAUCAUUUGAUUGGACACCACUUUCUCAUCCGAAUGGACAGCUCAGCCUUUCCCAAUAUUCUCAAUUUCAAAGGUAAAACUGUUCCUGAGAAAAUGUUACUCAGAUUAAAGGAUUGGUUUUCCAAAUAUGAUUUUUCGGUUAAGCAUAUAAAGGGGUCCUAGAACCUCAUCCCUGAUAUGCUAUCCAGACUUUCAAAACCAGAAAAACUUCUCACCCUGUUCUCCACCACAUAUCACUUUCCGAUAAUCUCCAUGGCUACAUCCCUUCCCUCCGAAGCUCUCACCAUAAAAACUUUUCCCUUCAACAAAAUCUUCUCUUCUGUUUUUGAUAUCCAAGAAUUUGCAAGAAAAGCUCUUUUUCGGUUCUUCAUGAAAGCCUAUCUUGUCACAGACCCUUUCCCUUUCUCCUCUUUCCACCUAGAGAAUAUGUUUUCUACAGGUUUAACCCUUGAUCCAUCCAGAGACACCACUGAAGACGUGUUAUGGUACAUCUGGUGCCUAACAGUCCUUUAUGCAACCAAGUUGAUCCUCUCAGUUACUCCCACACUGGAACAUCUCCUUCAUCCCGACAAUGCUACCUCCCUUACCUGGACGCUCCUUGAAUGGUUCUCCCCAAUACCAUGGUGGAGAAAGAAGCUUCAACAGCUCUCAGAAAUUCACAACCUUGAUCGUAUGCCUACCUCUGAAGCAAAAUUAUGGACAACAGUUUUCAUCAUUCACAGGCCCUACUUCCAACAUCCAGCCACCAACCUCUUCUGGACUCAAGAUCAAGCAUAUGAAUGGUUCACUGCACCACAUAUAGCUAUCAUUGACAAUGAUCUUCAAGAUGUUCUGCAUAAUUACCUUUGUCAACUAAACCACAAACAUCCCCCACUAAAAAAUAUCUCACACACCUCCUUAGGACCCCAACAUGAAAUCCUUAUGAUCCCGACUCCUUCAGCCACCUCUAAACCUAAGUCCACAGGAAUUGUCAUUAAGGAAGAACGUCCAGACUACACUGACUUCCUCUACCAAGACUCUCAGGACCCUUGGGAAGACUUCCUUCCUCUCAGCCAACACCUUCACCAAUUCCCCCAACCUACACUGGAUGAACCUGACCCUUCUGCUCCAGGACCAUCACACCGACCUUCCAAUACCCCAGUUCGACCCUCUCAAGCCGACAAAGCCACCCAAACUUCCCCAAAAUAUACUCCAAAGGGUACUCCGAGGGAAUACAAUUGCCCUCAUCCCCCAUGCCGUGGUCCCUCCUGCAAACAUCCCAAGCUCAAGCUCUCCAAAUUUUUUUUCCAAAAGCACUCUGGUGACACGGACCCCGAUGCGACAGAAAGCUCCUCUGAAGAUGACUACAUAAAUCUCUCCUCUCCAUAAAAGUAGUUUGUCUUCUUAUGCUUUACUUUAUGUUUUGUCUUAUGUAAUCAUUACAGCUUGCUUUUACUUUAAGCUUUUGCUUUUGCUUUUGUCAAAAGUUAUGCUUUAAUUAUUAAAGCAUCUUUUGUCCUUUUGUAAUAAUUAAAGGUGUGUCAUGAUGUAUAUUUACUUUUACUUUUGUAAAAGAUAGGAAUCUUAUCCUAUCUUCCUGAGUUUUCUCCUAUAUAAGGAGUUCUCUCUUCUCUUGUAAAAUAUAGAAGUUUGAAAGAAAUAAACUCGUGUGUUUUUCUCCAUGACUCCCUAAACCCCUCUUCUCUCUCUCCAAAUGAAGUUUUAGAAAUGGAAAAAAGAAUAAAGAAUUAAAUCUGUUCAUUUUGAAAACCUAAGGAAGUAUGCUCUGCACUUGCCUUUUCUAAGGAUCCUGUGCAUCAGAAAACUUUUGAUCAUUUCUUAUCUGGUUUGGUACCCUGUUUUAGACUAAAGGAAAGUCUGUUUUGGGUUGUAUAACCCGAGAAAAAUGUUUUAAAAGUUUUGCGAAAGUAUAUCGGCUGGAAACCCGAGCUUGCGGACUACUGGUCCUAAGAACAGUCUUAACUGUUGUAGUUCUGGUAUAACAACGCCACGUACUUCACCAUAACUGGUAUCAAAUUUUAAGACGUAAAUUAAUGUUUUUACAUUUUUUGAGAGUAAAUUAAAGAUAAUCAUACUAGAUGGGAGUAAUUCGAUAUUUAUCCUAAAAGAUAUUCACUUUCCUUACGUAGGUUUUUCAAUGACAAUUAAAUAAGUUAGACUUGGAUUAAUUGAGGGUAAAAUAAUACUCAUCCUAUGUUUGGGGUCAAAAGUUAGAUUAGGAUAUAAAUAAGCCCCUAAUUAGUAAUAUCAACAAUGUGAAAAUCUGUAACCCAGGGACCCUUGGGAUAAAAAAAUUGAAGCUAAAAGUUAUCCUAGAAUAUAUCAAGUACAAGAGUCUGUUCUUUUUCUUUUUUCUGUGUGCUGCUUUCUGGUACCUAAGUUACAAUAAACGUAUCUUACGUUUUUUGUCUUUUUCUUCUUUAGCUAAUUUCUUAUGAGUCCCUUUAUUUUUGAUUUUUAUAGUUGUGGAUGUAUUUGACUUCUUCCAUCCCUUCUACACCUAUUUCUCAUUCUUUCUAAAUUUUUAUUUAUUUCUUUAAAUAACAUUAAAUGGUUAUCGAAUUCAUAUAAAUCUAUAAUUUCAUAAUAGAUUUCUGGUCCUAAAUUUAUUAUUCCUAUUCUUUCUUGUUCUAGCAAUUCUAUUUUCUGAGUUAUUAGGUUUAUAUAUGUAUUUAGUAUGUUUUCCCAUCCUAAAAUCAUAUGAUCUAUACAAUCUGCUAAUUCAUGUAUCAUAUUAAAUGCAUGUUGAUUAUGAUUCAUAAUGCUUCCUUCUUAUACCAAUGUAUUAAAAAUUUUAUAAACUCAUCUAUAAAUUUCAUUUUCUUUUCUAUUAAAAUUUCUCCUCCUAAUGUGUCUAUAUUUCUUUCUCUAAGUUCCUCUGUAAGUUCGAGUUCUAUAUUUCUUAUGUUAUUUUUAUCAGUUUUCAAACCUAUUAUAAGAUUUUUUAUUUCUUCUUUAUUAUAUACUUUUAAUGUAUAUAAACUGUUAACUAUUGCUUGUACUGGGUCCAUUUAUUUUAGAAUAAAAUGUAUCUUAUUAUUUAAAAUUUAAACAAAAUUAUGUGGCUCUGAUACCAUUUUUGUGUCGGGGCACUUAUGAUGUAAACAAAAAUAACAAAUGUAAACAAAAAUAAAAAAUGUAAAAAUAAGCUAAUCAAAUUAAACAAGAUAAUUAUUUAUGCUAUUAUUUUAACAAAUAUUAGCCACUAUUAUAACGUAUAUCUAGUAUACCUUGUAUUAUUGUUAUUCCUUAAAUAUAUGGCUAUAACCUGUUCUUCUCCAAUUAUUCUAUGUAUAUCAUCCGGUAGAGUAUAAAAAUCAUAGUAAUUAUGGUUAGUUUCCAAAAUAUAUGUAGGAUUAGUAUCCAAAUUUGAAAUUUCUAAAUUAUGUGUAUAGUUUUCUGGGUAGUAGAAAACUUCUAUUUUUAUGAAGUAUAUAUAAUAUCUGGUUUCUUUAUAAGUAUCUAUGUUCAUUACUUUCCUUGAUUAUAGGUACGUGGCUUGUUAUCCCAAAGUAUAGAGGAUACUAACGCCCAUUCGGGAUCGUCUAUCCAAUUUACGUCAUGGGUUGCUUGCCUUUAUACCUUUUAAUCAUUAUAUGUGUCAAAUUCUUAUAUUUCAAGAUCUUCAUUAUCAGAAUUUUCUAUAUAAUAUAUAUUUGAUGGUCCAAUUUCUCUACUUUCGUUUUCUAUAUAUGCUAAAGCUAUGUCAAUUCCUUGUUCUACUGUUAACAUAAUUAUAUUAUGUUUCAAAUUAUCUAUUUCGAUAUGGUUUAUAAUUUUCCGUUUUAUUUCCUUUGGUAAGUCAACAACAUAUACUGCUUGUAGAUCUUCGAUUCUAACAAGCUCUUCUUUGCUCAAAAGAUAGGAACUUUGUUUAAAAGAUCCUAAAUUAAAAUCUAUUAUCAUCAUAUAAUCAUUAUAUGUUAUCCUAGUUGUCGAAUUUAUUAUAUGUUCUUUAGAAUUUCCUAACAAUAGGUUAUUCAUGUUUAAAGAUUAGCUCUUCUUCCAUAAUCUCCUCAUCAUCAAUCAUCAACAAACUUCCACCAAAGAUAAGGUUAGAGAAUUAUUACCUAGCUUAUUCUUGUUUCCUCGCCUUCCAAUCCUUUUCCAGUGACCUGCAGCCUGUUUGUCCUUAUUCCCUCAACGGCCUCCUUGCCUCAACGGGAUCAGCGGACUCGAUCGGCCUUACUGUAUGGAUCUUUGAUCUUUAGGCUUAGAAAUGUUGAAAUAAGUUUAGGUUUCUCUUUCCUUUCUAUGGGGUUAUUUGUUUUUUGAUUAGUGAUGUCUUGAUUUAGGAAUUAGAGCCGGGGAGUUGUUUAGCUAUCCAUUAGAACUUAAGAAGAUAAUUGUGUUAUGGCUGAAUGAU